rnacentral:rRNA from 1 species
AUGCCCUGCGCGGUUGUUGCCGAUGAACUUGUCUCAGGUUGCUGCGGGAGAUCGAAGGGGAUUUUUCUUGGCGCCGACGACGACGAUGAUGACAGUGGCGCCGCCGGUAUGGGGAUAGCGGCGCCACCGUGUCAGCAGACGACCACGCGGCAGGUGAGCGCAACCACGAGCAGUGCGGCGAUCUACGGCGGCCGGCCGGCCACGGCGAGUUCUAUGUCCCACUCCCAGGGAUUCCACCAGGGCAGCAGCGGCGUCUACGGCUUCUCCUCGGAUGGCUUCGACCGCCCGGGAUCCAGCCAGGACCACGACCAGCAGCAAGAGCAGCAGCAGCACCACGUGGCGCAGCAGAGCCGACGCGACAAGAUGAGGGUCCAGGGCUUCGACCCGGCCGCCGCCGCUGCCCACGGGCUGCUCCCUAUCGACGGCGAUGAGCACGUCGAGCCCGGCGCCAUGUACGACCACGCCGCGGCCGCCGGCGCCUCCAACAUGCUCGCCGAGAUGUUCAACUUCUCCGCCCAGACGCCGUCGGGGCCAUCCGCCACCGAGCUGCUGGCCAGCCAGAUGAACGCCAACUACCGCUUCGGGUUCCGGCAGCAGGCGCCGGGAGCGGUAGUAGCCGGCUUGCCCGGCGACGGCGGUUGGUUCGGCAGCGGCGGGCCUGGCCGCGCUGGCGUGGUCCUCGGCGGGGCUAACUUAUUAGGUGAGACGUCCUCGCCCAAGCAACAAGCAGGCGGCAUGGCGGGCCUAGCCACCGACCCGGCCGCCGCGAUGCAGCUCUUCUUGAUGAACCCUCAGCAGCAGCAACAGUCAAGGUCGUCGCCGCCGUCGCCUCCGCCGUCGGACGCGCAGUCGGCUAUUCAGCACCACGAGGCGUUCCAGGCGUACGGCAACGCCGCGAGUUCGUUCGGCGGCGGCGGGGCCGGCGUGGUGGAAGGCCAGGGCCUAUCCCUCUCCCUGUCACCGUCGUUACAGCAGCUGGAGAUGGCGAAGCAGGCCGAGGAGCUAAGGGUGAGAGACGGCGUGCUCUACUUCAACCGACAGCAACAGCAGCAGCAGCAGGCCCCGUCGGUGCAACAGCUCCCGAUGGCAUUGCACGGCCAGGUGGGCACGAUGGGGCAGCAGCUCCACGUCGGAUACGGCCCCGCCGGGGUCGCCGGCGUGCUGCGCAACUCCAAGUACACGCGCGCGGCCCAGGAGCUCCUGGACGAAUUCUGCAGCGUGGGGCGCGGGCAGACGAUCAAGGGAGGCGGGCGCGGUGCCGGCGGCUCCUCGUCGAACCCUAACGCGAGCAAGGGCGGACCCUCCAGCUCCGGCGCCGCCCAGUCGCCAUCGUCGGCGUCCAAGGAGCCCCCGCAGCUGUCCCCCGCCGACCGGUUCGAGCAGCAGCGCAAGAAGGCCAAGCUCAUCUCCAUGCUCGACGAGGUGGAUCGGAGGUACAACCACUACUGCGACCAGAUGCAGAUGGUGGUGAACUUCUUCGACUCGGUGAUGGGGUUCGGGGCGGCGACGCCCUACACGGCGCUGGCGCAGAAGGCCAUGUCGCGGCACUUCCGGUGCCUCAAGGACGCCAUCGCCGCGCAGCUGCGGCACACCUGCGAGCUGCUGGGCGAGAAGGACGCCGGCACGAGCUCCGGGCUGACCAAGGGCGAGACGCCGCGGCUCCGCGCCAUCGACCAGAGCCUCCGGCAGCAGCGCGCCUUCCACCACAUGGGCAUGAUGGAGCAGGAGGCGUGGCGGCCCCAGCGCGGCCUCCCCGAGCGCUCCGUCAGCAUCCUCCGCUCCUGGCUCUUCGAGCACUUCCUACACCCGUACCCCAGCGACGCCGAUAAGCACCUGUUGGCGAGGCAGACGGGGCUGUCCAGGAACCAGGUCUCGAAUUGGUUCAUCAACGCCCGCGUCCGGCUGUGGAAGCCCAUGAUCGAGGAGAUGUACCAGCAGGAGACGAAGGAGCUCGAGGGCUCCUCCGCCGGCGGCGGCGGAGGCGGGCCCGAGUCCGGCAACGACCCCUCUGGCGCCGACGACUUGCACUCCCCGACGACCACCGGAGCGCAGCAGCACCCGCAGCAGCAAGUAGUAAUGCAGCACGGCGGCGGCAGGUACGGCCAACAAGAGCACGGGAUGUCCGGCGUCCACCCCCAUAAGCUCGACCCCGGCGCGGGGCCCUCGGUGGCGGACGCCGCCUUCGUCGGCCUUGACCCGGCGGAGCUCCUUGGCGGCGACGCGCACGUGGGUGCCGCGGACGACCUGUACGGGAGGUUCGAGCCCGGGGUGAGGAUGAGGUACGGGCCCGCCGCGACCGGCGCGGUCUCCGGCGACGUGUCGCUUACGCUGGGCCUGCAGCACGCCGGCGCCGGCAACCAGGGGCCGGACGGCAGCGGCCGGUUCUCCUUGAGAGACUACAAUGGUUGUUGA